rnacentral:rRNA from 1 species
GAUCUGGCUCAGGAUGAACGCUAGCUACAGGCUUAACACAUGCAAGUCGAGGGGCAGCAUGAACUUAGCUUGCUAAGUUUGAUGGCGACCGGCGCACGGGUGAGUAACACGUAUCCAACCUGCCGAUGACUCGGGGAUAGCCUUUCGAAAGAAAGAUUAAUACCCGAUGGCAUAGUUCUUCCGCAUGGUAGAACUAUUAAAGAAUUUCGGUCAUCGAUGGGGAUGCGUUCCAUUAGGUUUGG